UUGGUUCAGGGGAGCUUAAAGGUUAUGGAGCAGGUGAAAUUAUGCGUGGAGAUUUUUUGCUGUUGGCCUGUGUAAUUAGUUGGAUCAUGUGUCCCAGUUCAUCAUACUGAUCCAUAAACUGUAACAUCCAUAAUUUUUGGCUGAUAUACCGGCAAACGAUCUAGAAUCCGGAUUCCGGAAUUCAGCAUUUUUACUGAUCAACCGUAAAAACAUUGGGAAUUAUUUGGGAUUCCUAAGGAAAUUGUCUUCGAGGUCGCGCCGCCACAAAAAAAACAAAUAAUCGUGUAUAUCUAGCGGCCCACUCACAAUUCCCGCCGUAUACUGCCCCCCACGGUUCAAUAUAGCAGAAGAGAAACUUAUGAAGUAGUAUACGUUUUUAAGUAACAGCUUUAAAGCAGCCAGCUUUAAAGUCAUCGCCAUUACACGGCCUACAUAAUUCAAUAUAUGGUAAAAUUUGAUCAAUUUCUUCUCUUAGGUGUACCGCGGAAACUGUGGGUGAUAGAACCUAUGUUUGUUCUGGACUUUGGUUCAGGGGGGCCUAUGGUAUCAAUCGGCCUGUGUUAUCAAUGAACCAUUACGGCAUUCCACACCAUUGUAUUUUUCAACCAGACAGCACACAACAUAAUGUGGUUUUUGGUAUGUUUGAAGUUGAUGUGGGCCCGAGGCGGUGUUUUUUUCGUGGUCCGCGGGCUUAUACAGGCCCUAAAAUUAAAAUUCGUGCGGGCCCGAGCAAAAAGGCCCGGCCCGUAAAAACCCGAAAUAGGAGACCCCGAAUUUAUAAGAGAAAUGAAAAUGGAAAAUGGAAUGUUUGGUGAAUUUUAAGACUUAAGUUAUGUAAAAAAACGAAAAGUAGAGAAAAACGUUAUCGACAUAAAGCUUGACAAAUAUUUGGCCUAUCCAGUAGCUCAUGGCACACAUAUUUUUAAAUUCUGGAAAAAUUCAAGGGACUUAAAAUACCAUCCCAAAUUAGCUCGGACCAUUCUGGCUUUUCCACUCAGUUCGUUUACAAGCGAAUGGCUUUUUUCAACAUCGGGCCAUGUUAUAAAUGAAAAACGCAGUAGGCUAAAAAGCACAAAUUUAGACACUUUAGUAAGAAUCAUUGGUAAGUGUUUUAACAACAUUUUGCGGAUUGGAACGAUCAACCAAAGUGAUCUAUCCAUUCUACGGUUGCACUCGUAUCAAUAUGUGUUUACUAUCGACAUGCAAAGAAUUUAUCAACAGAUAUCUGGUAUAUUAACGGGACGUUGAAGUCCUUUUUCCAAACCUGCAUAGAAACGACGAUAUGCCAUUGAAACGUUGCAGCAACUGGCCGCUCUGUUCUUUACACAUGGCUACUUAUGGCCGUCUGCCCCUGGUUGUCUGGAUGCACCUGGUUCGACUGAGCUAAUCACAACCCAUGCGACGGCUGUAAACGGCUGCUCUAGCAGUCUCUGGACACCUCCAAUGCCUGUGAUGUACAUGGUGGAAGAUGCUCCGGUGGAUCGCAAUCCCAAAUUGCCUGUCUAGCAUUGUGCUAAACUGAUCGGUGGGCAGCUACAAGAAGUUGACCCAGCUUAGAAAUUAUAUUUUUUUUAAGUUUAUUUUUUGGAAAAAUCGAUUGAAUCGAUUGCCCAUAAAUUGCUUACAAAUGGCCAUCAAUAUUUUCGAUUUGGAAAUUAUUAAACAAUUUUUUAUUAAAAAGUUUCGAAAAUUUUAAAAUUUGACUUGAUUUUUUUUCUUAAUCUAGAAAUAAAGUCGAUGGCCCAACAACGGAUAUCUUUAAGAAUUUUGAAAAAACUUUUAAUUUUUGAAAUAUUUAUGUUUUUAGUUUUGGUAAUUUUUUGGACAAGUAAAGAAAAAUUUAAAAUAAAUCUACUGAAAUCGUUUUCCAAUGGUGUGAUAAAAAAUGCACUUCAAAAUUUUUUCACCAAUGCCCAUCUUUUAGAAUUUUAAAGUAACAUUUACUUUUCAAGAUACUUGAUUCUCCAAGUCUUCGAAAUAAAAGUAUUAAAAGGUGCCCUUCCCUUGAAACCUAAAAAUUUAACAAAAAAAUCUAAGUCCAUCGUUGCCCAUCCUUCAAAACUUACAAAUUGAAAUAUUUUCUAGGUUCUUGCAAAUUAAUAUUGUAUUUAAUAACUAAUACAAUUUAAUUUAAUAACUAAUAUACUCGUAUUAUUUAAUAAAGAGGUUUAUGUUUAGCAGAAUA